UACGUAGGGUGCAAGCGUUGUCCGGAAUUAUUGGGCGUAAAGAGCUCGUAGGCGGCCUGUUGCGUCUGCUGUGAAAUCCCGGGGCUUAACCCCGGGCGUGCAGUGGAUACGGGCAGGCUGGAGGCAGGCAGGGGAGAACGGAAUUCCCGGUGUAGCGGUGAAAUGCGCAGAUAUCAGGAGGAACACCGGUGGCGAAGGCGGAUCUCUGGGCCUUACCUGACGCUCAGGUGCGAAAGCUAGGGGAGCGAACAGG
rnacentral:rRNA from 1 species